rnacentral:rRNA from 1 species
CCAUAGUAAUGGCGAAUGAACCGGGAUAAACUCAGCAUGGAAAUUGGGGCCUUUGGCUUUGACUUGUAAUCUGGUGAGGCAUUGCCAACAGAGGCGCAUAUGUAAGUCUCUUGGAAAAGAGCAUCAACGAAGGUGAGAGUCCUGAUUGUCAUGUGCAGCCCCCCUGUGCACGGUGUGCCUUCUAAGAGUCACGUUCCUUGGGAUUGGAGCGCAAAUUGGGUGGUAACUUUCAUCUGAAGKUAAACAAUGGUUUGGGACCGAUAGGAAACAAGUACCAUGAGGGAAAGGUGAAAAGGACUUUGGAAAGAGAGUUGAAAGUGCCUGAAAUUGCUGAAGGGGAAGCGAAUGGAA